rnacentral:lncRNA from 1 species
UUAUCAAGAAAUAAGAAGAUUGAUAGUGUUAUUAGUGUUCUUGUUUUGCUAAAUUUUGUAUAUUGUUAUCAAGAAAUGAGAAGUUUGAUAGUGUUAUUAGUGUCUUGUUUUGCUAAAUUUGUAUAUUUUAUCAAGAAAUGAGAAGUUGAUAGUGUUAUUAGUGUUCUUGUUUUGUAAAUUUGUAUAUGUUAUCAAGAAAUGAGAAGAUUGAUAGUGUUAUUAGUGUUCUUGUUUUGCUAAAAUUUGUAUAUGUUAUCAGAAAUGAGAAGAUUGAUAUUGUUAUUAGUGUUCUUGUUUUGCUAAAUUUGUAUAUUGUUAUCAAGAAAUGAGAAGAUUGAUAGUGUUAUUAGUGUUCUUGUUUGCUAAAUUUUGUAUAUUGUUAUCAAGAAAUGAGAAGAUUGAUAGUGUUAUUAGUGUUCUUGUUUUGCUAAAUUUUGUUUAUUGUUUAUCAAGAAAUGAGAAGAUUGAUAGUGUUAUUAGUGUUCUUGUUUUGCUAAAUUUUAUAUUGUUAUCAAGAAAUAGAAGAUUGAUAGUGAUUAGUGUUUUUUUUGCUAAAUUUUGUAUAUUGUUAUCAAGAAAUGAGAAGAUUGAUAGUGUUAUUAGUGUUCUGUUUUUCUAAAUUUUAUAUUGUUAUCAAGAAAUGAGAAGAUUGAUAGUGUUAUUAGUUCUUGUUUUGCUAAAUUUUGUAUAUUGUUAUCAAGAAAUGAGAAGAUUGAUAGUUAUUAGUGUUCUUGUUUUGCUAAAUUUUGUAUAUUGUUAUCAAGAAAUGAGAAGAUUGAUAGUGUUAUUAGUGUUCUUUUUUCUAAAUUUUGUAUAUUUUAUCAGAAAAGAGAAGAUUGAUAGUGUUAUUAUGUUCUUGUUUUGUAAAUUGUAUAUUUUAUCAAGAAAUGAGAAGAUUGAUAGUGUUAUUAGUGUUCUUGUUUUCUAAAUUUGUAUAUUGUUAUCAAGAAAUGAGAAGAUUGAAUAUGUUAUUAGUUCUUGUUUGCAAAAUUUGUAUAUUGUUAUCAAGAAAUGAGAGAUUGAUAUGUUAUUAUGUUCUUUUUUGCAAAUUUGUAUAUUAACAAGAACAUGAGAAGAUUGAUAGUGUUAUUAGUGUUCUUGUUUUGCUAAAUUAUGUAUAUUGUUAUCAAGAAAUGAGAAGAUUGAUAUUGUUAUUAGUGUUCUUGUUUUGCUAAAUUUUAUAAAUUGUUAUCAAGAAAUGAGAAGAUUGAUAGUGUUAUUAGUGUUCUUGUUUAUGUAUAUUGUUAUCAAGAAAUAAGAAGAUUGAUAUUGUUAUUAGUGUUCUUGUUUUGCUAAAUUUUGUAUAUUGUUAUCAAGAAACGAGAAGAAUGAUUGUUUUAUUAGUCUUCUUGUUUUGCUAAAUUUUGUAUAUUGUUAUCAAGAAAUGAGAAGAUUAAUAGGGUUAUUAGUGCUCUUGUUUUGCAAAAUUUUGUAUAUUGUUAUCAAGAAAUGAGAAGAUUGAUAGUGUUAUUAGUGUUCUAGUUUUGCUAAAUUUUGUAUAUUUUUAUCAAGUAAUGAGAAGGUUGAUAGUGUUAUUAGUGUUCUUGUUUUGCUAAAUAUUGUAUAUUGUUAUCAAGAAAUGAGAAGAUUGAUAAUGUUAUUAGUGUUCUUGUUAUCAAGAAACGUUUGACGCUGACCCUUUAGCAAAAUCUCUCAAACAUGAAAGGCAUUGCCAUGGGGAAUUCUCCAUGGCUUCUAUUCAGUCAAAUAAGGAUAUGGAAUAUCACAACAAAGUCGAUGUAAGUCAUGAUGCACUGUUCGUUUGAAUUUAUGAUGGCUUCAAAGGCCACACCACAGCUUCCUAUAUUCGUACGCACAUUAUUAGGACUCUAUUACGUGAGUUAUUUCUUUGCUUCUUUUUUCUUAGCAUACUAAUAUGUAUAUUGUUAUCAAGAAAUGAGAAGAUUGAUAGUGUUAUUAGUGUUCUUGUUUUGCUAAAUUUUGUAUAAAGACCCGAAAUAUUAGAAGAACUCUGAUGAGGAUUCGAUUAGCUUUCUGUGGUUUAUGCUAAAAUUUUUUAUAUUGUUAUCCAAGAAAUGAAAAGAUUGAUAGUGUUAUUAAGUGUUCCUUGUUAUGAAAUUUUUAUAUUGGUUAUCAAAGAAUUGAGAAGAUUGAUAGUGUUAAUUUAUGUUGUUCUUGUUUGCCCUAAAAUUUGUAAUAAGUGUUAUCAAGAAAGGUAAGAUUGAUAGUGUUAAGUGUACUUUGCGUUUUGCGAAACUACUUGUAUGUCGUUGACUAUCCAGAAGUAAGUUGGGGAUAGAUAAAGAUUGAUAGUGCCCCUAUUAGUCGUUUUUGUUUUGCCUAAAUUUUGUAUAUUGUUAAACAAGAAAUGAGGAAAAGAUUGAUGAGAGCACACGCUAGUUUUUUAGUGAUUCUUGUUUUUGCUAAAUUUGUAUAUGGUUAAUCAAAUUGUAGAAGAUUGAUAGUGUUAUUAGUGUUCUUAGUUUUAGCUUAAAAUUUGGUACUAUUGUAUGAAGUAUAAUUGAGAAGAUGGGAUAGUGUAUAUUAGUUUUUCUUAGGGAGUUUUGCCCUAAAUUUUUUUAUGUAUUGCUUAAAACAAACACUUAGAAAUUCGAAUCUGUUAUUAGUUGUUCUUGUUUUGCUAAUUUUUUAUAUUAGUAUAUCACAGAAAUGGAAAAAGAUUGAUAGUGUUAUUAGUGUACUUCUUGUUAUGCUAAAUUUUGCUAUAAAUUGUUAUCAGAAAAUGAGAAGAUUGAUAGUGUUAUUAGUGUCUUGUUUUGCUAAUUUUGUAUAUUCUGUUAUCAAGAAAUGAGAAGAUUGAUAGUGUUAUUAGUGUUCUUGUUUUGUCUAAAUUUUGUAUAUUGUUAUCAAGAAAUGAGAAGAUUGAUAGUGUUAUUUAGUGUUCUUUUUUUUGCUAAAUUUUGUAUAUUGUUAUACAAGAAAUGAGAAGAUUGAUAGUUUAUUAGUGUUCUUGUUUGCUAAAUUUUGUAUAUGUUAUCAAGAAAAUGAGAAGAUGAUAGAUGUUAUUAUGUUCUUGUUUUGCUCUAAAUUUUGUAUAUUCUUAUCAAGAAAUGAGAAAUUGAUAGUGUUAUUAGGUGUUCUGUUUUGCUAAAUUUGUAUAUUUGUUAUCAAGAAAAUGAGGAGAUCAGUAGAGAUUGAGUGCUUAUUAAGUGUGUUGUUUUGCUAAAUUUUGUAUAUUAUUCCAAGAAAGGAGAAGAUGGAUAGUGUUAUUAGUGUUCUUGUUUGCUAAUUCUGUAUUUGUUAUGCAAGAACGAUGAAAGCAUUGAUAGUGUUAUUAGUGUUCUUUGCUAAAUUUUGUGAAUUGUUAUCAGAAAUGAGAAGAUGAUUGAUAGUAGUUAUUAGUGUUCUUGUUUGGCUAAAUUUUGUAUUAUUGUUAUCAAGAAAUGAGAAGUUGAUAGUGUUAUUAGUGUUCUUGUUUUGCUAAAUUUUGUAUAUUGUUAUAAGAAAUGGAGAAGUGAUAGUGUUAUUUAGUGUUCUUGUUUGCUAAUUUUUGUAAUUUAUAUCAAGAAAUGAGAAGACUUGAUAGUGUUUUAGUGUCUUGUUUGCUAAAUUUUGUAUAUUUUAUCAAGAAAUGAGAAGAUUGAUAGUGUUAUUAGUGUUCUUGUUUUGCUAAAUUUUGUAUAUUGUUAUCAAGAAUGAGAAGAUUGAUAGUGUUGUUAUUGUUCUUGUUUGCUAAAUUUUUGUUAUAUUUACAAGAAAAUGAGAAGAGAUGAUAGUGUAUAUUAGUAGUUCUAUUGUGUUUGGCUAAAUUUUGUGUAUAGAAUUUGUGUAAACAAAGAAUAUAGAAGAUUGAUAUAGUGUCUAUUAGUGUUCUUCUUGUUUUUGGCUAAUGUUGUAUAUGUUGCAAAAAGAAAGGAGAAGAUGAUAAGGUGUUAUUACGUGUUCUUUGUUUUUGCUAAAUUUGUAUAUUGUUUCAAGAAAUGAGAAGUUGAUAGCUGUGUAUUAGUGUUUUUGUUUUUGCUAAAUUUUUGUAUAUUGUUAUCAAACAGUGAGAAGAUUGAUAGUGUUAUUAGUGUUUCUUGUUUUUGCUAAAUUUGUUAUAUUGUUAUCAAGAACAUGAGAAGAUUGAAUAGUGUUUUAGUGUUCUUGUUUUGCUAAAUUUUGUAUAUUGUUAUCAAGAAAUGGAGAAGAUUGAUAGUGUUUAGUGGUUCCUUGUUUUGCUAAAUUUUUGUAUAUUGUUAUCAAGAAAUGAGAAGAUUGAUAGUGUUAUUAGUGUUCUUGUUUUGCUAAAUUUUGUAUAUUUGUAUCAAAAAAUGAGAAGAUAUUGAUAGUGAUUAUUAGAAGUGUUCUUGUUUUGGCUAAUAUUUUGUAUUGGAUUUAUCAAGAAAUGAGAAGAUUGAUAGUGUUAUUUAGUGUUUUGGUAUUGCUAAAUUUUGUAUAUUGUUUGUCAAGAAAUGAGAAGAUUGAUAAUGUGUAUUAGUGUGUCUUGUUAGUCUGGGCAGCAAUUUGUAUAUAUUGUUAUACAAAGAAAUGGCAGAGUUGAUGCUAGUUGAUUUAUUAGUGUUUCUUGUUUUGCUAAUUUUUGUAUAUUGGUUUGCAAGAAAGAUGAAGGAUUGAUAGUCUUAUUGUGUGUGCUUGGUUUUGCAGUAAAUGGCGUUAUACGCUUGCCUUUACAAGACCCUAAAAUGAAGAGGAGUCUGCAUAGUGGAUAGUUCUUCGUAUGGGCUUACUAUUGUAAGAAUGCAGCAAAUGAUUAGUGUUAUAGUUGUUGUUUAAAAUUUGUAUAGUGCUACCAAGAAAUGAAGAUAGAAACGCAUAGUUAGCUGUUCUUUUUGCAUUGUGUAUGAUUGGCUUAACGCCAAGCAUAUGCAAUCGACAGGAUUUUAAGUUAUAAGUGUUAUUUUAGUGUUUUGCAUCUUUUCGUAAAUUUUGUAUAUUGUUAUCAAGAAAUGAGAAGAUUGAUUAUGUUAUUAGUGUUCUUGUUUGCUAAAUUUUUGUAUAUUUGUUUACAAGAAAUGAGAGAUUGAUAGUGUUAUUAGAUGUUCUUGUUUUGCUAAAUUUUGUAUAUUGUUAUGCAAGAAUAGAAAGAUUGAAGUCUGUUAUUAGUGUCUUGUUUUGUCCUAAAUUUGUAUAUUGUUAUCAAGAAAUGAGAAGUCUGAUAGUGUUAUUAGUGUCUUCGUUUUCCCUAAAUUUGUAUAUUGUUAUCAGAAUGAGAGAUUGAUAGGUUAUUAGUGUUCUUGAUUUUGCUAAAUUUUGUAUAUGGGUUAUCAAGAAAUGAAGAUUUGAUUAGUGUUUAUUAGUUUCUUGUUUUGCUAAUUUGUAUAUUGUUAUCAAGAAUGAGAAGAUUGAAUAGUGUUAUUAGUGUUCCUUGUUUUGCUAAAUUUGUUAUAUUGUUAUCAAGAAAUAGAAGAAGAUUGAUAGUGUUUAUUAGUGUUUUUUGUUGCUAAAUGUUUGUAUAUUGUUAUCAAAAAUGAGAAGAAUUGAUGAGUUUUAGUGUUCUGUUUUGCUAAAUUUUGAUAUUGUAUAUCAAGAUAUGAGAAGAUUGAUAGUGUUAUUAGUCGCAUUUUGUCUUUGCCAUAAAUUUUGUAUAUUUUUCGACUCUUUUGGAUUACUAGUGAGUUAUUUGCUUUUCUUUUUUCUGGCAUAAUAAUUUGUGUAUUUGUUAUGUCAGAAAUGAGAAGCUGAAUAGUGAUUAUUAGUGUUCUUGUUUUGCCCCUAAAUUUUUGUAUAAUUGUUAUCAAGAAACUGAGAAGAUUGAUAGUGUUUGAUUAGUGUUCUUUUUUGUUGUCUAAUUUUGUAUAUUGUUAUCAAAGAAAUGAGAAGAUUGAUAUGUGUUAUUAAGUGUUUCUUGUUUUGCUAAAUUUUGUAUUUGUUAUCAAGAAAUGUAUUAAGAUUGAUAUAUGUUAAUUCAGUGUUCUUAGUUAGCACUUAAAUUUUGAUAUAAUGUAUAUCAAGAUAAUAUGAGAUAGAUAGUGUUAUUUAGUGUUCUGUUUAGGGCUUAAAUUUUUGUAUAUUGUUAUUAAGUAAAUGGAGGAAGAUCGAUUUGUGUAUUAUUAUGAUUCUUGUUUAUUGCUAAUUUUGUCAAUUGUAUGCCAGGAAAGGAAGAAGAUGAUAGUGUUAUUGUGUCCUGUUUGCUUCACUUGUGUAAUAUUGUUUCGCUCCAGAAUGAGAAGAUUGAUAGUGUUUAUAGUGUUCUUUUAUGUUUUCUAACAUUUGUAUAUUGUUUUUCAAGAAAUGAGAAGAUGAUGAUAGUGUUUAUUAGCUGUUCUUGGGUUUUGCUAAUAUUUUGUAUAGGCUUGUAUCAAAAGAGACUUGUUUCGACAAGAUAUAAUCAGUGUUUUUUUUAUUUUGUGUUCUUGUUUUGCUAAAUUUUGUAUACUUGUUAUCAAAGAAAUGAGAAGUGAAGAUGUUAAUUAGUGUUCUUGUUUUACUAAUUUAUUGUAUAUUUGUUAUCAAGAUAAUGAGAAGAUUGAUAGUUGUUAUUUAGUGUUUCUUGUUUUGCUAAAUUUUGUAUAUUGUUAUCAAGAGAAUGCAGAAAAGAUUGAUAGUGUUAUUAGUGUUCUUGUUUUGCCUAAAAAUUAAUUGUUUAUCAAGAAAUGAGAAGAAUUGAUAGUGUUAUUAGUGUUCUGUUUGCUAAAUUUGUAAUAUUGUUACAGAAAUGCGAAGAUUGAUAGUGUUAUUUAGUGUUCUUGUUUUGCUAAAUUUUGUAUGAUUAUAUCAAGAAAUGAGAAGGUUGAUAGUGUUAUUAGUGUUCUUGUUUUGCUUAAUUUUGUUAUAUUGUUAUUCAAGAAAUGAGAAGAUGAUAGUGUUAUUAGUGUGUUUCUUGUUACAAGAAACUUUGAACGCUGACCCUUUAAAAAUUCUCUCAAAAAAUGAAAAGGCAUUGCCAUGGGGAAUUCUCCAUGGCUUCUGUUCAGUCAAAUAAGGAUAUGGAAGAUCACAACAGGAAAUGUAAGUUCAUGACGCACUGUUUUUUAGAAUUAUGAUGGUUCAAAGGCCACACACUCGCUUCCUAUAUAUCCGUAACGCACAUCUUUAGGAUCUUAUUACGUGAAUUAUUUUUUUGCCUUCUUUUUUCUUAGCAUCUUACCUGUAAUUCUAUAUAUAUGACAUGCCUGAAAGGAUUGAAGGUGUUAUUAGGUUCUUGUUUUCUAAAUUUUGUAUAUUGUGUUUAUCAAGAAAUGAGAAGAUUGAUAGGUGGUUAUUAGUGUUCUUUGUUUUGCUAAAUUUUGUAUAUUGUUUAAUCAGAAAUGAGAAGAUCGAUAGUGUUAUUAAGUGUUUUUGUUUUGCUAAAUUUUGUUAUAUUGCUUAUCAAGAAAUAGAAGAUGAUAGUUUUUAUUAGUGUUCUUGUUUUGCUAAAUUUUUUUAUAUUGUUUCAAGAAAUGAAGAUGAUUGAUAGUGUUAUUAGUGUUCUUGUUUGCUAAAUUUUGUAUAUUGUUUUAUCAAGAAAUGAGAAGAUUUGAUAGUGUAUUAGUGUUCUUGUUUGCUAAAUUAUGUAUAUUGUUAUCAAGAAAUAGAAGAUUGAUAUGUUAUAGUGUUCUUGUUUUGCUAAUAUUUUGUAUAUUGUUAUCAAGAAAUGAGAAGAUUGAUAGUUUAUAUAAGUGUUUUUUGUUUUGCUAAAUUUGUAUAUUGUUACAUAGAAAUGAGAAGAUUGAUAGUGUUAUUUAGUGUUCUUGUUUUGCUAAAUUUUUGUAUAUUGUUAUCAAGAAAUGAGAAGAUGAUAGUGUUAUAGUGUUCUUGUUUUGCUAAAUUUUGUAUAUUUUAUCAAGAAAUGAGAAGAUUGAAGUGUUAUUAGUGUUCUUGUUUUGGCUAAAAUUUUGUAUAUUGUUUACUCAAGAAAUGAGAAGAUAUGAUUGUGUUAUUAGUUCUUGUUUUGCUAUUUUGUUAUUAUUAUCAAGAAAGGUAGAGAUUGAUAGUUGUAUUAGUUUCUUGUUUUGCUAAAUUGUGUAUAUUGUUAUCAAGAAAUGAGAAGAUUGAUAGGUUAUUGUGUUCUUGUUUGCUAAAUUUUGUAAUUGUUAUCGAAGAAAUGAUAGAGAAGAUUGAUAGUGUUAUUAGUGUUCUUUUUUGCAAUUUUGUAUUAUGUUAUCAAGAAAUGAGAGAUUGAUAGUGUUAUUAGUGUUCUUGUUUGCUAAAUUUUGUAUAUUGUUAUCAAGAAAUAGAAGGUGUAGUGUUAUUUAGUGUUCUUGUUUUGCUAAUUUUGUAUAUUUUAUCAAGAAAUGAGAAGAUUGAUAGUGUUAUUAUAAGUUCUUGUUUUGCUAAAUUUUAGUAUAUAUUUUAUCAGAAAUGAGAAGAUUGAUAGUGUAUAUUAGUGUUCUUGUUUUCUAAAUUUAUGAUUAUAUUGUUUCAAGAAUUGAGAAGAUUGAUAUGUAUUAGUGUUCUUGUUUGCUAAAUUUUGUAUAUGUUAUCAAGAAAUGAGAAGAUUGAUAGUGUUAUUAGUGUUCUUGUUUUGCUAAAUUUGUAUAUGUUUCAAGAAAUGAGAAGAUUGAUAAUGUUAUUAGUUGUUCUGUUUUCUAAAUUUUUGUAUAUUUUAUCAAGAAAUAGAGAUUGAUAGUGUUUUGUUGUUCUUGUUUUGCUAAAUUUUGUAUAUUGUUAUCAGAAUGAGAAGAUUGAUAGUGUUAUUAGUGUUCUUGUUUUGCUAAAUUUGUAUUAUUGUUAUCAAGAAAUGAGAAGAUUGAUAGUGUUAUUAGUGUUCUUGUUUUGCUAAAUUUUGUAUAUUGUUAUCAAGAAUGAGAGAUGAUAGUAUGUUAUUAGUGUUCUUGUUUGCUAAAUUUUUGUAUAUUUUUAUCAAGAAAUGAGAAGAUUGAUAGUGUUAUUAGUGUUCUUGUUUUGCUAAUUUUUGUAUAUUGUUCAGAAAUGAGAAGAUUGAUAGUGUUAUUAGUGUUCUUGUUUUGCUAAAUUUUGUAUUGUUAUCAAGAAAUGAGAAGAUUGAUAGUUGUUUUUAGUGUUCUUGUUUGCUAAAUUUGUAUAUUGUUUCAGAAAUGAGAAGAUUGAUAGUGUUAUUAGUGUUUUGUUUUGCUAAAAUUUUGUAUAUUGUUAUCAAGAAAUGAGAAGAUUGAUAUGUAAUUAGUGUCUUGUUUGCUAAAUUUUGUAUAUUCGUUAUCGAAAAUGAGAAGAUUGAUAGUGUUAUUAGUGUUUCUUGUUUUGCUAAAUUUUGUAUAUUGUUAUCAAGAAUGAGAAGAUUGAUAGUGUUAUUAGUGUUCUUGUUUGCUAAAUUUUGUAUAUUGUUUAUCAAGAAAUGAGAAGAUUGAUAGUGUUAUUAGUGUUCUUGUUUGCUAAAUUUUGUAUAUUUUUUCAAGAAAUGAGAAGAUUGAUAGUGUUAUUAGUGUUCUUGUUUGUAAUUUUGUAUAUUGUUACAAAGAAAUGAGAAGAUUGAUAGUGUUAUUAGUGUUUCUUGUUUUGCUAAAUUUUGUAUAUUGUUUAAGAAAUGAGAAGAUUGAUAGUGUUAUUAGUGUUCUUGUUUUGCUAAAUUUUGUAUAUGUUAUCAAGAAAUAGAAGAAGGAUAGUGUUUAUUACGUGUUCUUGGUUUAGUAAACUUUGUGUAUAUUCUGGUUAUUAGAAAUGAAAGAUGAUUGUGUGUAUUAGUGUUCUUGGUUUUGCUAUUUGUAUAUAUGUUGGCAAGAAAGUGAGAAGAUCGAUAGGUGCUUAUUAAGUCGUUUCUUGUUUUCUAAUUUGAUAUUAGUUCUCAAGAAAAUGCAAAGAUUGAUUAGUUGUAGUUAUGUCUUCUGUUUUGCCACUAAAUUUUGUAUAUUGUUAUCAAGAAAUGAGAAGAUUGAAUAGUGUUAUUAGUGUUUGUUUCUGCUAGAUUUUCUGGUAUAUGUGUUUAUCAAGAAAUGAGAAAGAUUGAUAGUGUUAUUAGUGUUCUUGUUUUGCUUAAAUUUUGUAUAUUGUUAUCAAGAAAUGAGAAGAUUGAUAUGUGUUAUUAGUUCUUCUGUUUGCUAAAUUUUGUAUAUGUUAUCAAGAAUGAAGAUAGAUAGUGUUAUUAGUGUUCUUGUUUGCUAAAUUUGUAUAUUGUUAUCAAGAAAUGAGAAAUUAGAUUGUGUUAUUAAGUGUUUUGGUUUGUUUGCCUAAUUUUGAUAUUGUUUAUCCAAGAAAGAGAAGAUUGAUAGUGUUAUUAGUGUUCUUGUUUUGGCUAAAUUGUUGUAUAUUGCUUUGCAAGAAAUGCAAAGAGUUGAUAGUGUGUCAUUACUGUUUUUGUUUUGCUAAAUUUGUACAUAUUGUUUUCAAGAAAAUGAGAAGAUCUGAUAUGUUAUUAGUGUGUUGCUUGUUUGCUAAUUUUGUAUAUUUGUUAUCAAAAAAAUAGAGAAUUGAUAGUGGUUUAUUAGUGUUCUGUUUUGCUAAAUUUUGUAUAUUUGGUUAUAAGAAAUAGAGGAAAAAGGUUCGAUAGUGUUAUUAGUGUUCUGUUUUGCUAAAUUUUGUAUAUUCUUAUCCAAGAAAUAGAGAAGAUUGAAUAAUGUUAUAGUGUUCUUAGUUUUCUAAUUUUGGUAUAUUUUUGGGUUUUUAUCAAGCACCCAAAUGCCGAAGAUUGAAUCAGUGUUAUUAGUGUUUUGGUUUAUGCUAAAUUUUUGUAUAAUUGGUCUGAUCCAAAGAAACAUGAGAAGAUGAUAAUGUUAUUUUAGUGGUUUACUUGCUUAUCGGCUAAAUUUUGUAAUUGUUAUCAGAAAUUAGAAGAUUGAAUUAGUGUUAGUUAGUUGUUAUUAGUUUUUGGCUAAAAAUUUAUUGGUUAUAUUGGGUUAAUCAAAGAAUAAUGAGAAGAAGAGGUCCGAGUAGUUGAUGUAGCUAGUAGUUAGUCUUGUUUAUGCUAGAAAUAAUUUGUAUCUUGUUAUCUAAGAAAGAUUAGAAGAAUGGAAUAGUGUUAUAGGUGUUCUUAGGUUUGACUAAUGUGUAUACUUUUUGUGUCAAGAAGACGAAAGGAAGAAUGAUAGUGUUAUUGUAGUGUUUUUAUUUUGCUAAACUUAUUGCUAUAAUUCGUUAUCACAAUAAUGAGAAAGAAUGGGAUUAAGUAGGUUAUUGAGUGUUCUUCUGUUUUGCUAUCAAUUUUGUAAUAGUUGUUAUCAAAGAAAAUGAGAAGAUUAGUGUCUUCGUUAAUAUAUGUUUAUUGCAGUUUUGCUACCAUUUGUAUGAUUUUGAUUCAAGAAAUGAGAAGAAAAUCUGAAUAAUUGUUGAAAUUGAGUGUUCUUUCUUGUUAAUGCUAAAUUUUGUAAUAUAGUCUAGUCAAGAAAAUAUGAAGAUAGAUAGUGGUUAUAGUUGUUGCUGUUUAGCUAAAUUUUGUAUAUUGUUAUCAGAAAUGGAGAAGAGUCGAUUGUGUUAUAAGUGUUCUUGUUUUGCUAAUUUGGAAUAUAUUUUUGGUUUGCCCAAGUAAAGGAGAAAGAUGGAUAGGUGGUUAUUGUAUGUUCUUGUUUUGCUAAAUUGUGUUAUUGGUUGUCAGAAAAUGAAAAAGAUUGCGAGAUAGUGUUAUUAGUGUUUUUGCUUUUGCUAGAUUUGAGUAUUAAUUGUUUCUAAUGCUGAAAUGAGAAGUUUGCACAUUGAAUAGUGUUAUUCAGAUGUUCGUAUUGCUAACAUUUUUAAUAUUGUUAUACGAAAGAACAUGAAGAAUAGUUGAUAGUGUGUUUUAUGCUGCUUAGGUUGUUGUCUAGUUUUGUAAUAUUGUUUACUCAGAAUGAGAAGGUGCAAGUUGUAAUUAUGUUGCUUGUUUGCUAAAUUUUGUAUAUUGCAUUAUCAGAAGAAAAUGAGAAGAUUGAUAGUGUUAUUAGUGUUCUGGUUUUCUAAUUAUGUGUAUAUCUAGUUAGAAGGAAAGAAUAGAUUGAUAGGUUGUUAAUUAGUGGCUUCUUGUUUUGACGUAAAUUUUAGGGGAUAUUUGUUGUCAAAGAAAUGUAAGAAGAUGGAUAGAUGUUAUGUAGUGGUUCUUGUUACUGCUAAAUGAUGUUGUAUAUAGUUGUAUCCAAAGAAAAUGAGAGAGAUUGACUAGUGUUAUUUGAGUGUGUCUUGUUUUGCCUAAAUUUUUGUAUAAUGUAGUUAUGGAAGAAAUGGAGAAAGGUCGAUAGUGUUCAUUAGUGUUCGUUAGUUUGCCUAAGAUUUUAUAUAUUAGGUAUCAAAAGAAAUCGAGAAGAUUGAUAGUGCUUAAUUAGAUGUUCUGUGUUAUAUGCUGCCUAAAUUGUGUUAUUUUUGUCAUAAGAAACUGAGAAGAUUGAUAGUGGUUAUAUUGAGGGUGUUGUUUAAGUAUUGCUAAAUUUGUAUAUGUGUUAUGCAAGAAAUGAGACAGAUUAGAUAGUGCUUUGUUAGUGUUCUUGUUUUGCCCUAUACUUUGUUGGGUAUAUGUGUCUUAGUCAAAGAUAAUGAGAAGAUUGAUAGUGUUUUUUACUCGUUGUCUGUCUGAUUUGGCCCGCCUAUACUUUUGUAUAAUUCUUAUCAGAAAUAUGAGAAGAUUGAAUAGGUGUUAUUAGUGUUCUGUGUUUUGGCCGUAUAUUUUGUAUAUUCUUAAUCAACGAAAUGAGCAUAGAUUGAUGUAGUUUUUAGUGUUCUAUGGUUUUUGCCCCUAAAUUUUGUAUAUGUUGAUACAAGAAAUGAGAAGAUUGUAUAGUUAUUAGUGUUCCUAUGUUUUAUGCCUAAUUUUUGUAUUAGUUAUCAAGAAAUAUGAAGAUAGAUAGUGUUAUUAGUGUUCUUGGUUUAGACUAAUUUGUAAUAUUGUUAAUAAGAAAUGAGAAGAUAUUCCGAUUGUUUAUUAGUGUUCUUGUUUUGCCUAAUCUGUUGCAGAUAUUGGUUGUGCUCGAAUAUGGUGGCAAGACAAGGAGAAGAUGAUCGGUUUAUUAGUGUUCUUGUUUUUGCUAAAGUGUGUAUAUUUGGAUGUCCAAGUAAAUGACGAAGAUUAUAGUCGUUAUUAAAGUGUAUUUGUUUUGCAUAAAUGUUGUAAAUAUUGUAUCAAGACAGUGGAGAAGAUUGGAUAUGUGUUAUUAGUGUUACUUCGUGUUUUUCUAUACAGAUUUUGUAUAUGUGUGUAUCAAGAAUGACAAAAUUAGAUAGUGUUUUCUAGUAUUGUUCUUGUUUUACUGAGCCCUAAAUUUUGUAUAAUUGUUCAGUAGAAAUAGAAGGUCGAUAGGUCGUUAUUAGUGAUUCUUGUUUUUCGGCUGAUAGAAAUGUUGUAUAUUCUUAUCGAAGAAAUGAGAAGAUGAUAGUGUUAUUGUGUUCUUGGUUUGGCUAAUUUGUAAUAUUGUUGUAUGCAAGUACCAUGAGAAAGGAUUGAAUAGUCGUUAUUAGUGUCCUCUUAGUCUUUGGCUAAAUUUUUGUAUACUUGCUGUCCAAGAAUGAAGAAGAUUGAUAAUAUUAUUAGUCGUUCUUGGUAUGCUAAUAAAUUUUGUAUAUUGUUAUGCAAAGAAAAUGAGGAUGAUUCGAUAUGCGUUAUUAGUGUUUCUGUUUUGCCUAUAAUUUUGUAUAUGUUAUCAAAGAAAGAUGAGUAAGAGCGUCGAGUAUGUAGCUGAUUAGGUUCUUGGUUUUUGCUAAAAUUUUGGUAAUAUUGUUAUCAAGAAAUGAGAAGAGUUGAUAGUGUUAUUAGUGGUUUAAUUGUUUUGCCUAAUAAGGUUGUGUGAUGAUUUUUGUCAAAGAAAUGAGAAGAUUGGAUAAGUGUUAUUAGUGCUUUUUAUUUUUGCUAAAAUUUUGUAUAUUGUUAUCGGUAAGAAAGGAAGAAGCGGAUUGGGAUAGUGUGUUUUUAGUGGUUCUUUUGUUUUGCUAAAUUGUAUGAUUGUUAUCAAGAAAUGAAGAAGUAUUGAUAGGUUGUAUCAUUAGUGUUCUUGUUUUGGCUAUUUUGUAUAUGUUAUCAAAGAAUGAGAAGAUUGAUAUUGUUAUAUAGUGUUCUUUGUUUUGCUAUAUUUUGUAAUAUUGUUAUCAAGAAAUGAGGAGAUGAUGUGCUAUGAUGUUUUGCUAAAUUUGUAUCAUUGUUAUCAGAAGGAGGAUUGUAGUAAGUUAACUUAGCUGUCUUCAUUUGUGCUAAAUAAGUUGUUAAUCAAGAUAGUGCAGAAGAUUGGAUACGUGUUUUUAGUGUUCUUGUUCUUGCUAUUUUGUAUAUUGUUUCGAAAGGAUGAGAAGAUCGUAGUGUUAUUAGUGUUCUAUGUUUGCCUAUAAUUUUGUUAUUUGUUAUCAAGAAUGAGAAGAUUGAUAGGUAGUGAUUCUUGUUUUCUAAUUUUAGUUAUUGUUCUCAAGAAAUGAGUUGAGGGUUAUGCUUCGUUUGACUAAUUUUGUAUAUGUUAAGAAAAGUGAGAAGGAUUGACUAAUGUUAGUUGAGUUGUUUUGAUUUUGCUAAAUUUGUAGAUGUUAUCAAUAACGAUGAGAAGAGCACUUGAUAGGUAGGUUAUUAUUAGUGUUCUGUCGUUUCGAACUAUAAUUUAUUGUAUAAUUGUUAUCAAGAAAAUGAGAAGAUUAGAAUAGUGUUAAUGAAAAAGUUUGUCGUUUUGGCUAAUUUUGUAUUUCUUAUCAAGAAAUGAGAAGAUUGAUAGUGUGUAUUAGUGUUCUUUUUGACUAAUGUUUGUUAAUUGCUUAUCAAGAAAUGAGAAGAUUGAUAGUGUUAUUAGUGUUCUUGUUUUUGGCUCUAAAUUUUUGAGUAUAUUGUGAUCAAGAAUGAGAUAGUUGUAUGUUAUUAUGUUCUUGUUUAUGCUAAGUUUUGUAUAUUAGUUAUUUCAAGAAUGAUGAAGAUUGAUAGUGUAUUAGUCGUUCCUCUGUAUUGCUAAAAUUAUUGUAUAUUGUAUCAAGAAAUGAGAAGAUUCGAUUGGUGUGUAUUAGUGUUCUUGGUUUUGCUAAGUUUUUGUAUAUUGUUACAAGAAAAGGAGAAGAUGUGAUAGUGUUAUUGUGUUCAUUGUUUUGCCUAAAUUGUGUAUAUUGUUUUCAAGACAAUGAGCAAGAUGAUAUUAUUUCAUUGAGUUGCUUAUUUUAUAUGCUUUCGAAUGAGAAAUUAUGUGGUAUUAGUUUCGUUAUCAAGAAAUGACUAGACUAGGAAAUUUUCAAAGUGAACAUGGCUAUUAGUGUUCUGUUGGCUAUUAUUGUAAUAAGGAAUGUAGUAUCAAACAGCGAAAUAUGAGACAGUAUUGAAUGUUUUGAUGGCUUUUAGCACGGAUCUUUUCGUACUGCACUAAAUUUUGUCAGUUCGUUUAGUUAUCUGUUUCAAUUAGCGAGUGUAUUCCGAAUUUUAUCAGGAUGAAUGAUAGUGUAUUAGUGAUCUUGUUUUGGCUAAAUUUUGUGUAUAUUGUAUCAAUGAAUGAAAGGAUUGAUAGGGUUUAUGUGAGUCUGUUCUUGUUUUGCCUAAUACUAUGUAUAUUGUUAUCAAGAAAAUGAGAAGAUUGAUAGAUGUUAUUAGUGUUCUGUUUUGCUAAAUUUGUAUAUUGUUAUCAAGAAAUGAGAGGAUUGGAUUGUUGAUUAGUGUUCUUGUUGAUGCCUAAAAUUUUUGUAUAUUGUUAUACAAGAAAUGAGAAGAUUGAUAGUGUGAAUUAGUGUUUGCUCUGGUUUUGCUAAAUUUUGUAUAUUGUUAUCAAGAAGAUGAGAAGAUGUGAUAGGGUUUAUUAGUGUUCUUGUUUUGCCUAAAUUUUGAUUAGGUCACUUGUUAUCAAAAUAGAACAUGAGUAAGAUUGAUAGUUGAUGAUUAGUGUUCACGUGGGGUUUGUGCGUAAAUUGAUGGUAAUUUUUUGUUCAUAGAAAUGAGAAUGAUUGAUGUGUUUAUUAAGUGUUUUAUUUUUGACUAAAUUUAUGGUAGAUAUAUGUUUAUUCGAAGAAAUGUGGAGAGAUUGAUAGUGUUUUUAGGUGUUCCUGUUUUGCUAUAGUUUUUGUAUAUUGUUAUCAAGAAAAUAGAAGAUUGAUAGUGUUAUUAGUGUUCUUGUUGUUGCUUUAUUCUUGUAUAUUCUUAUCAAGAAAUGAGAAGAAUUGAUAUGUUUAUUAGUGUUCUUCGUUUUGCUAUAUUUUUGUAAUAUUCUAUAUCAAGAAAUGAGAAAAGAUUGAUAGUGUUAUAGUGUUCUUGUUUUGCCUAAAUUUUGUAUAGUUGGUUGUCAAGAAAUGAGCAAGAGUUGAUAAUGUUUAUCGUGGGGGUACCGUUUUGGAGUUCAUGGUGAGGUCUGGAAGGAGCGACUAAGGGCACCCGAUGUCAGAACACUAACAAGUGGCGUGAUAGGGUGUUUACUUAAAGGCAGAUCGCGUGGAAGACUAGAAUGUGGCGUGUCAUGCAGCAUUGGUGCUUGGUAUAACUAGUAGCCAGCUCAGUAUAUAAAGAAUUUUUGUGUGAGUAUAGCUAUGUAUACCUCCGGAGGAAGAGGAAAAGGAAGGAAUGUUGUGGAUCGAGAGUUCUAUGUUGGUAUAAGGUUGAGUGUUUCCUUGUUUUGCUCAGAUUUUGCGUAUAGUAGUUUAACCCUCCCGCCGGCACGUAAGUUGAAGAGAGAAGGAUGGGACUGAUGUGUAUCGGUAGUGUGUACUUUGAUUUUGAGGCUAAACUUGAGUGUAUACGGUUAGUUAUUUGUGUCGAAAAGAGGCGAGAGGAUCGGAAUGUUGGUGUUCAUUAGUCGUUUUUUCUGGUAUUUUGCAGAUUUGUAUAUUGUUAUCAAAGAAUGAGAAGAUUGAUAAGUGUUAUAGUGUUCUGUUUGCUAAAUUUUUGUAUAUUGUUAUCAAGAAAAUGAGACGAUGUAGUGUUAUUUAGUGUUCUUGUUUUUGCUACACAUUUUGUAUAUUGUUAUUCAAAAUGAGAAGUGUGAUAGUGUUACUAGUGUUCUUGUUUUGCAAUUUUGUAUAUUUUAUCCAAGAUAAUGAGAAAGAUGAUAGUGUUAUGUUUAUUAGUGUUCUGUGUUUGCUAAUAUUUUGUAUAAUUGUGUUAUCCAAGAAUGAGAAAGAUUGAUAGUGUUAUUAGUGUUUUUUGUUUUUGCUACAAAUUUGUAUAUUGUUUAGAGAAAUGAGAAGAUUUUGAUAAAGUCUUAUUAAGUGUUCUUGUUAUGCUAAAUGCUUUGGCUGAUAUUGUUAUCAAGAAAUGAGAAGAUUGUAGUGUUUUAGUGUUCUUGUUUUGCUAAAUUUUGUUAUUAGUAUCAAGAAAUGAAGAAGUGAUAGUGUUAUUAGUGUUCGCUUGUAUUUUGCUAAUUGUUGUAAGUAUUGUUAUCAAGAAAUGAGAAGAUUGAUAGUGUUAUUAGUGUUUCUUGUUUUGCUAAAUUUUGUAUAUUGUUUCAAGAAAUGAGAAGGCGAUAGUGUUAUUAGUGUUCUUGUUUGCUAUAUUUUGUAUAUUAUCUUAUUCCAAGAAAUCGAGAAGAUUGAUAGUGUUAUUAGUGUUCUUGUUUUGCAUAAUAUUUGUAUAAUUGUUAUCAAGAAAUGAGAAGAUUGAUAGUGUUUAUUAGUGUUCUUGUUUUGCUAAAGUUUGUAUAUUGUUAUCAAGAAAUGAGAAGUUGAUAGUUUCUAUAGUGUUCUUGUUUUGCAAAUUUUGUAUUUUUAUCAAAAUGUAGAAGAUUGAUGAGUGUUUCUUAAGUGUUCUUGUUUUGCUAAAAUUUGUAAUUUGUUUCAAGGAAAUGAGAAGAUUGAUAGUGUUAUUAUGUGUUUUUGUUUUGCUAAAUUUUGUAUAUUGGUUAUCAAAGAAAUGUGAGAAGAAUUGGAUUGAGUGUUAUUAGUGUUCUUGUUUUUGCUCGAAAUUUUAUGUAAUUCGUUAUACCGAGAAGAGAAAUGAGAAGAUCUGGAUAAGUGGUUAUUUAGUGGUUCCCUUGUUUUGCUGAAAUUUUGUAUAUUGUUUAUCACUCGAGCAAGAAAUGAGAAGAUUGAUAUGUUAUUAGGUGUUUUCUUUGUUUUGGACUGUAAAUUUUGUAUAUUGCUAUCUCAAAAUAGAGAAGAUCGAAUAGUGUUAUUAGGGUUCUUGUUUUGCUAAAUUCUUGUCAUUGUUAUCCAAGAAUAUAGAGUUAUGUGUAAGUUGAUAUCAGUUUAUCAAGAAAUAGGAGAUUGAUAGUGUUAUUAGUGUUCUUGUUUUGCUAAAUUUUGUAUAUUGUUAUCAAGAAAUGAGAGAUUGAUAGUGUUUAGUGUCUUUUUUGUAAAUUUUGUAUAUUGUUAUCAAGAAAUGAGAAGAUUGAUAGUGUAAUUAAGUGUUCUUGUUUUGUUAAAUUUUUGGUAUAUGUUAUCAAGAAAUAGAAGAUGAUAGUGGUUAUUAGUGUUCUUUUGCUAAAUUUUGUAUAUUGUUAUAAGAAAUGAGAAUGAUGUGUUAUUAGUGUUCUUUGUUUUGCUAAAUUUUGUAUAUUGUUUCAAGAAAGGAGAAGAUGGAUAGUGUUAUUAGUGUUCUUGUUUUGCUAAAUUUGUAUAUUGUUACAAGAAAUGAGAAGAUUGAUAGUGUUAUUAGUGUUUUGUUUUGCUAAAUUUUGUAUAUUGUUAUCAAGAAAUGAGAAGAUUGAUAGUGUUUAUUAGUGUUCUUGUUUUGCUAAAUUUUGUAUAUUGUUAUUCAAGAAAUGAGAAGAUUGAUAGUGUUUUAGUGUUCUUGUUUUGCUGAAAUUUUGUAUAUUGUUUCAAGAAAUGGAAGAGGUGAUAGUGUUAUUGUGUUCUUGUUUUGCUAAAUUUUUAUAUUCUUAUCAAGAAAUGAGAAGAUUGGAUAGUGUUAUUAGUGUUCUUGUUUUGCUAAUUUUGUAUAUUGUUAUCAAGAAAUGAGAGAUUGAUAGUGUUAUUAGUGUUUUGUUUGCUAAAAUUUUGUAUAUUGUUUCAAGAAAUGAAGAUGAUAGUGUUAUUAGUGUUCUUGUGUUUGCUAAAUUGUAUAUUGUAUCAAGAAUGAGAAGAUUGAUAGGUUUUUAGUGUUCUUGUUUUGCAUAAAUUUGUAUAUUUGUUAUCAAGAAUGAGAAGAUUGAUAGUGUUAUUAGUGUUUUGUUUUGCUAAAUUUUGUAUAUUGUUACAAGAAAUGAGAAGAUUGAUUGAUUAUUAGUGUUUGUUUUGCUAAAUUUUUGUAUAUUUUAUCAAGAAAUGAGAAGAUUGAUAGUGUUAUUAGUGUUCUUGUUUUGCUAAAUUUUGUAUAUUGUUAUCAAGAAAUGAGAGAUUGAUAGUGUUAUUUAGUGUUCUUGUUUUGCUAAAUUUUGUAUAUUGUUAUCAAGAAAUGAGAAGUGAUAGUGUUAUUAGUGUUCUUGUUUUGCUAAAUUUUGUAUAUUGUUAUCAAGAAAUAGAAGAUUGAUAGUGUUAUUAGUGUUUUGUUUUGCUUUCAUUUGUAUAUUGUUAUCAGAGAAUAUGAAGAUGAUAGUGGUUAUUAGUGUUCUUGUUUGCUAAUUUUGUAUAUUGUUAUAAAGAAAUGAGAAGAUGAUUGUUGUUAUUAUGUCUUGUUUUGGCUAAAUUUUGUAUUAUUGUUCAAAGAAAGGAGAAGAUGAUAGUGGUUAUAGUGUUCUUGUUUUGCUAAAUUUAGUAUAUUGUUAUCAAGAAAGAGAAGAUUGAUAGUUUAUAUAGUGUUUUUGUUUUGCUAAAUUUUGUAUAUUGUUAUCAAGAAAUGAGAAGAUUGAUAGUGUUAUUAGUGUUCUUGUUUUGCUAAAUUUUGUAUAUUGUUAUCAAAAUGAGAAGAUUGAUAGUGUUUUAGUGUUCUUGUUUUGCUAAAUUUUGUAUAUUGUUAUCAAGAAAUGAGAAGUGAUAGUGUUAUUAGUGUUCUUUUUUGCUAAAUUUUUAUAUUUUAUCAAGAAAUGAGAAGAUUGAUAGUGUUAUUUAGUGUUCUUGUUUUGCUAAUUUUGUAUAUUGUUAUCAAGAAAUGAGAAGAUUGAUAGUGUUAUUAGUGUUUGUUUUGCUAAAUUUUGUAUAUUGUUUCAAAGAAAUGAGAAGAUUGAUAUGUUAUUAGUGUUCUUGUUUGCAAAUUUUAGUAUAUUGUUAUCAAGAAAUUAGAAGAUUGAUAGUGUUAUUAGUGUUCUUGUUUUUGCUAAAGUUUUGUAUAUUGUUAUCAAGGAAUGCGAGAAGCAUCGAUAGUGUUUAUUAGUGUUUGCUUGUUUUCUAAAUUUUGUAUAUUGUUUAUCCCAAGGAAAUGACGGAAAGCUCGAUAGUGUAUUAAGUGUUCUUGUUUUGCUGUUAUUUGUAUAGGUUCCUUAUCAACUGAAUGAGAAGAUUAGAUAGUGGUUAUUAGAGUGUUCUUGUCUUCUGACUAUUUUUGGUAUAUUGUUAUCAAUAGAAAUGAGAAGCUUGGAUAAGAUGUAUUAAUAGUGUCUGUUUGCGCUAUAUUUUGUAUAUUUGCUUAUCUAAAGAAUGAAGAAGAUUGUAGUGUGUAGUUAGUAGUUCUUUGUUUUGCUAACACUUUUGUAUCAGUUGCUUUAUCGAAGUAAAUGAGAAGAUAUUAAUAGUCGUUUUUAGUGUUCUUGUAUUUUGCUAAAUGGUGUAUAUUGUUGUCAGUGAAUGCGAGAAAGAUAUUGAAUAGUUGUGAUUAGUAGUUUUUGUUUUGCCUAAAUUAGUUGUAUAUUGGUUAUCCAAGAACUGAGAUUAGAUUGAUUUAGAGGUACGUAUUAAAGUAGUCUAGUUUUGCGUCUAAAUUUGUAUUAUAUGUUAUCAAGAAUGAGAAUGGAUUGCUAAGUGGUUUAUUAGUGGUUCUUGCUUUUAGCUAAAAUUAUUGUAUAUGUAGUUAUCAAGAGAAAUGAGAAAGAAUGAAUAGUGUUAUUAGUGUUCUGUGUUUUGCUAAUUUGUAUUAGGUUGUUAUCAAGAAAUGAGAGGUCGCGUAAGUGUUUUAUUACGUGGGUUGCUUGUUUGUCUAAAUUUGUGUAUAUUCCUUUAUCACAGUAUGUGUGUAUUGAGUUUGAGGUGUCGUUACUUCAGUUUUUGUCACACUAUUUUGAUAUGAUUCUAUCAAAGAAAAUGAGAAGAUUGAUGAGUGUAUCAUUAGUGUUCUGUGUUUGUUGCAUAAAUUUUGUUAUUGUAUUAUCAUAAGAAAAUGAAAGAUUUGAUAGUGUUUAUUAGUGUCGCUUUGUUUUUGCUAAAUUUGUAUAUUGUUAUCUAUAUAUAUAAGCGUAAAUACAGGAAGAGUUGAUACGUAGUAGUAGAUGUUAGUGUUCUUGUUUUGCUAAUUUUGUAAUAUUGUUAUCAAGAAUGAAGUAAGGUCGAUAGUGUUAUUAGUGUUCUUGUUUUGGCUAAAUUUGUAAUAUUCUUAUCAACGAAAUCGAGAAGAUUGAUAGUGUUAUAGUGUUUCUUGUUUUGCUUAAUUUUGUAUAUUCUUAUCAAGAAAUAGAAGAUUGAUAGUGUUUAUAUUAGUGGGUUUCUUGGUUUUGCUAAUUUUGUAUAUUGUUGUCCAAGCAAUGAGAAGAUUGAUACUGUUUAUUAGUGUCUUGUUAUGCUAAAAUUUUGUAUAGUUAUCAAAAGAAAUGAAGAAAGAUUGAUAGUGUUAUUAGUGUUCCUUGUUUGCUAAUUUGUAUAUUGUUAUCAAGAAAUGAGAAGAUCGAUUGGUUUUAAGUGUUCUUGUUUUGCUAAUUUGUAAAAUAUUGUUGCCAAGAAAGGAGAAGAUGAUAGUGUUUACUUAGUGUUCUUGUUUUGCUAAAUUGUGUAUAUUGUUUGUCAAGAAUGAGAAGCUUGAAUAGUGUAUUAGUGUUUUGUUUUGCUAAAUUUUGUAUAUUGUUCAUCAAGAAAUGAGAAGAUGUAAUAGUGUUAUUAGAUGUUCUUUGUUUUGCUAAAUUUUGUAUAUGUAUCAAAAAUGAGAAGAUUGAUAGUGUUUAUUCGUGUUUCUUUGUUUUGCUAAAUUUUGUAUAUUGUUAUCCAGAAAUGCGAAGAUUGGAUAGUGUUUUUAGUGUUAUUGUUUUGCUAAAUUUUGUAUAUAUGUUUAUCAAGAAAUGAGUAGGUCGAUAGUGUUAUUAGUGUUUCUUGUUUUGCUAAAUUUGUAUAUUCUUAUCAAGAAAUGAGAAGAUUGAUAGUGGUUAUUAAGUGUUCUUGUUUUGCUAUAUUUGUAUAUUGGUUUAUCAAGAAAUGAGAAGAUUGAUAGUGUUAUUGUGUUAUUGUUUUGCUUAAAUUUUGUAAUUGUUGUCCAGAAUGAGAAAGAUUGGAAUAAUGUUAUUAUGUUCUUGUUAUGCCUAAAUUUUGAUAUUGUUAUCAGAUAUACGAGAAGAUUGAUAGUGUUUUUUAGUGUUCUGUUUUGCUAAAUGUGUAUAUUGUUAGUCAGGAUGAGAAGAUUGAUAGUGGUUAUUAGUGUUUUUGUUGCUAAAAUUUUGUAUAUUGUUAUCAAGAAAUGAGAAGAUUGAUUGAUUUAUUGUGUUCUUGUUUGCUAAAUUUUGUAUAUUGUUUAUCAAGAAAUGAGAAGAUUGAUAGUGUUAUUAGUGUUCUGUUUUGCUAAAUUUGUAUAUUGUUAUCAGAAAUGAGAAGAUUGAUAGUGUUAUAGGUGUUCUUGUUUUGCUAAAUUUUGUUAUUGUUAUCAAGAAAUGAGAAAGGUCGAUAGGUUUUAUUAGAGUGUUCUUGUUUUGCUANNNNUAUUUGUUAUCAAGAAUGAGAAGAUUGAUAGUGUUAUUAGUGUUCUUGUUUUGCUAAAUUUUGUAUAUUGUUAUCAAGAAAUGAGAAGAUUGAUAGUGUGAUUAGUGUUCUUGUUUUGCUAAAUUUUGUAUAUUGUUAUCAAGAAUGAGAAGAUUGAUAGUGUUAUUAGUGUUCUUGUUUUGCUAAAUUUUGUAUAUUGUUAUCAAGAAAUGAGAAGAUUGAUAGUGUUAUUAGUGUUCUUUGUUUUGCUAAAUUUUUUAUAUUGUUAUCAAGAAAUGAGAAGAUUGAUAGUGUUAUUAGUGUUCUUGUUUGCUAAAUUUUGUAUAUUGUUAUCAAGAAAUGAGAAGAUUGAUAGUGUUUUUGUGUUUUGUUUUGCUAAAUUUUGUAUAUUGUUAUCAAGAAAUGAGAAGUUGAUAGUGUUAUUAGUGUUCUUGUUUUGCUAAAUUUUGUAUAUUGUUAUCAGAAAUAGGAAGUUGAUAGUGUUAUUAGUGUUCUUGUUAUCAAGAAACGUUUGACGCUGACCCUUUAGCAAAAUCUCUCAAAAAUGAAAGGCAUUGCCAUGGGGAAUUCUCCAUGGCUUCUUUCAGUCAAAUAAGGAAUGGAAGAUCACAACCAAGUCGAUGUAAGCCAUGACGCACUGUUCGUUUGAUAUUUAUGAUGGCUUCAAAAGGCCACACCACUGCUUCUAUAUCCGUACCACAUUUUAGGACUCUAUUAUGUGAGUUAUUUCUUUGCUUCUUUUUUCUUAGCAUCUUACGUAUAUGUUAUCAAGAAAUGAGAGAUUGAUAGUGUUAUUAGUGUUCUUGUUUGCUAAAUUUUGUAUAUUGUUAUCAAGAAAUGAGAAGAUUGAUAGUGUUAUUAGUGUUUUGUUUAAAUUUUGUAUAUUGUUAUCAAAAUGAGAAGAUUGAUAGUGUAUGUGUCUGUUUGCUAAAUUUUUAUAUUGUUAUCAAGAAAGAGAAGAUUAUAGUGUUAUUAGUGUUCUUUUUUUGCUAAUUUGUAUAUUGUUAUCAAGAAAUGAGAAGAUUGAUAGUGUUAUUAGUGUUCUUGUUUUGCUAAUUUGAUAUUGUUAUCAAGAAAUGGAAGAUUGAUAGUGUUUAUUGUCUUCUUGUUUUGCUAAAUUUUGUAUAUUGUUAUCAAGAAAGUAGAAAGAUUGAUAGUGUUAUUAGUGUUCUUGUUUUGCUAAAUUUGUAUAUUGUUAUCAAGAAAUGAGAAGAUGAUAGUGUUAUUAGUGUUCUUGUUUUGCUAAAUUUAUAUUGUUAUCAAGAAAUGAGAAGAUUGAUAGUGUUAUUAUGUUCUUGUUUUGAUAAUUUUGUAUAUUGUUAUCAAGAAAGAGAAGAUGAUAGUGUUAUUAGUGUUCUUGUUUUGCUAAAUUUUGUAUAUGUUAUCAAGAAUGAGAAGAUUGAUAGGGUUAUUAGUUUCUUGUUUGCUAAAUUUUGUAAAUUGUUAUCAAGAAAUGAGAAGAUUGAUGUGUUAUUAGUGUUCUGUUUUGCAAAUUUUGUAUAUUGUUAUCAAGAAAUGAGAAGGUUGAUAGUGUUAUUAGUGUUCUUGUUUUGCUAAAUUUUUAUUGUUAUCAAGAAAUGAGAAGAUUGAUAGUGUUAUUAGUGUUCUUAUCAAGAAACGUUUGACGCUGACCCUUUAGCAAAAUCUCUCAAAAUGAAAGGCAUGCCAUGGGGAAUUCUCCAUGGCUUCUUUCAGUCAAAAAGGAUAUGGAAGAUCACACAAGUCGAUGUAAGCCAUGACCACUGUUCGUUUGAAUUUAUGAUGGUUUUCAAAGGCCACACCAUUGCUCUUCCUAUAUUCGUACGCCAUCUUUAGGACUCUAUUAUGUGGUUAUUUCUUGCUUUUUUUCUUUAGCAUACAAUCUUAUAUUGUUAUAGAAAAAAGAAAGAUUGAUAGUGUUAUUAGUGUUCUUGUUUUCUAAAUUUUGUAUAUUGUUAUCAAGAAAUGAGAAGAUUGAUAGUGUUAUUAGUGUUCUUUUGUAAAUUUUGUAUAUUGUUAUCAAGAAAUGAGAAGAUUGAUAGUGUAUUAGUGUUCUUGUUUUGCUAAAUUUGUAUAUUGUUAUCAAGAAAGAGAAAUUGAUAGUGUUAUUAGUGUUCUUGUUUUGCUAAAUUUUGUAUAUUGUUAUCAAGAAUGAGAAGAUUGAUAGUGUUAUUAGUGUUCUUGUUUGUCUAAAUUUUGUAAUUGUUAUCAAGAAAUGAGAAGAUUGAUAGUGUUAUUAGUGUUCUUGUUUUGCUAAAUUUUGUAUUUGUUAUCAAGAAAUGAGAAGGUUGAUAGUGUUAUUAGUGUUCUUGUUUUGCUAUUUUGUAUAUUGUUAUCAAGAAAUGAGAAGAUUGAUAGUGUUAUUAGUGUUCUUAUCAAGAAACGUUUGACGCUGACCCUUUGAAAUCUCUCAAAAAUGAAAGGCAUUGCCAUGGGAAUUCUCCAUGGCUUUCUGUUCAGUCAAAAGGAUAUGGAAGAUCACAACCAAGUCGAUGUAAGCAUGACCCUGUUUUCGUUUAUUUAUGAUGGUUCAAAGGCACACCAGCUUCUAUAUUCGUACGCACAUCUUUAGGAUUAUUAGUGAGUUAUUUCUUUGCUUCUUUUUCUUAGCAUACUAAUCUGUAUAUUGUAUCAGAAAAAGAAGAUUGAUAGUGUUAUUAGUGUUUUGUUUUUCUAAAUUUUGUAUAUUGUUAUCAAGAAAUGAGAAGAUUGAUAGUGUUAUUAGUGUUCUUUUUUGCUAAAUUUUGUAUAUUGUUAUCAAGAAAUGAGAAGAUUGAUAGUGUAUUUAGUGUUCUUGUUUUGCUAAAUUUUGUAUAUUGUUAUCAAGAAAUGAGAAGAUUGAUAGUGUUAUUAGUGUUCUUGUUUUGCUAAAUUUUGUAUAUUGUUAUCAAGAAAUGAGAAGAUUGAUAGUGUUAUUAGUGUUCUUGUUUUGCUAAAUUUUAUAUUGAUACAAGAAAUGAGAAGAUUGAUAGUGUUAUUAGUGUUCUUGUUGCUAAAUUUUGUAUAUUGUUCAAGAAAUGAGAAGAUUGAUAGUGUUAUUAGUGUUUUGUUUUGCUAAAUUUUGUAUAUGUUAUCAAGAAAUGAGAUAUGAGUGUAUUAGUGUUCUUGUUUUGCUAAAUUUGUAUAUUGUUAUCAGAAAAUGAGAAGUUGAUAGUGUUAUUAGUGUUCUGUUUUGCUUAUUUUGUAUAUUGUUAUCAAGAAAUGAGAAGAUUGAUAGUGUUUAUUAGUGUUUCUUGUUAUCAAGAAACGUUUGACCGCUGACCCUUUAGCAAAAUCUCUCAAAAAUGAAAGGCAUUGCCAUGGGGAAUUCUCCAUGGCUUCUAUUCAGUAAAAUAAGGAUAUGGAAGAUUGUUAUUAGUGUUCUUGUUUUGCAAAAUUUUGUAUAUUGUUAUCAAGAAAUGAGAAGAUUGAUAGUGUUAUUAGUGUUCUUGUUUUGCUAAAUUUUGUAUAUUGUUAUCAAGAAAUGAGAAGAUUGAGAGUGGUAUUAGUGUUCUUGUUUUGCUAAAUUUUGUAUAUUGUUAUCAAGAAAUUAGAAGUUUGAUAGUGUUAUUAGUGUUCUUGUUUUGCUAAAUUUUGUAUAAUUUUAUCAAGAAAUGAGAAGAUUGAUAGUGUUAUUAGUGUUCUUGUUUUGCUAAAUUCUAUAUAUUGUUAUCAAGAAAUGAGAAGAUUGAUAGGGUUAUUAGUAUUCAUGUUUUGCUAAAUAUUGUAUAUUGUUAUCAAGAAAUGAGUAGAUUGAUAGUGUUAUUAGUGUUCUUGUUUUGCUAAAUUUUGUAUAUUGUUAUCAAGAAAUUAGAAGAUUGAUAGUGUUAUUAGUGUUCUUGUUUUGCUAAAUUUUGUAUAUUGUUAUCAAGAAAUGUGAGAAGAUUGAUAGUGUUAUUAGUGUUUCUUGUUUUUGCUAAAUUUUGUAUAUUUUAUCAAGAAAUGAGAAGAUUGAUAGUGUUAUUAGUGUUCUUGUUUUGCUAAAUUUGUAUAUUGUUUCAAGAAAUGAGAAGAUUGAUAGUGUUUAUUAGUGUUCUGUUUGCUAAAUUUUGUAUAUGUUAUCAAGAAAUGAGAAGAUUGAUAGUGUUAUUAGUGUUCUUGUUUUGCUAAAUUUUGUAUAUUGUUAUCAAGAAUGAGAAGAUGUGUGUGUUUUAUUAGUUCUUGUUUUGCUAAUUUUGUAUUGUUCAAGAAAUGGAGAAGAUGAUAGGUGUUUAUUGUGCUUCUUUUGCUAAAUUGUAUAUUGUUUCAAAAAAUGAGAAGAUGAUAGUGUUUUAUGUGUUCUUUUUUUGCUAAAUUUUGUAUAUUGUUAUCAAGAAAUGAGAAGAUUGAUAGUGUAUUAGUGUUCUUGUUUUGCUAAAUUUGUAUAUUGUUAUCAAGAAAUGGAGAAGAUUGAUAGUGUUAUUGUAGUGUUCUUGUUUUGCUAAAUUUUGUAUAUUGUUAUAAGAAAUGAGAGAGUUGAUAGUGUUAUUAGUGUUCUUUGGUUUGCUAAAUUUUGUAUAUUUGUUAUCAAGAAAUGAGAAGUAUGAGAUAGUGUUAGUUAGUGUUCUUGUUUUGCUGAAUUUUUGUAUAUUGUUAUCAAGAAAUGAGAAGAUUGAUAGUGUUAUUAGUGGUUUUCGUUUUGCUAAAUUUUGUAUAUUGUUUCAAGAAUGAGAAGAUUGAUAUGUUAUUAGUGUUCUUGUUUGCUAAAUUUGUAUAUUGUUAUCAAGAAUGAGAAGAUUGAAUAGUGUUAUUAGUGUUCUUGUUUUGCUAAAUUUUGUAUAUUGUUUAUCAAGAAAUGAGAAGUGAUAGUGUUUAUUAGUGUUCUUGUUUUGCUAAAUUUUGUAUAUUUUAUCAAGAAUGAGAAGAUUGAUAGUGUUAUUAGUGUUCUUGUUUUGCUAAAUUUUGUAUAUUGUUAUCAAGAAUAGAAGAUUGAUAGUGUUAUUAGUGUUCUUGUUUUGCUAAAUUUUGUAUAUUGUGUCAAAGAAAUGAGAAGAUUGAUAGUGUUAUUAGUGUUCUUUGUUUGCUAAAAUUUGUAUAUUGUUAUCAAGAAAUGAGAAGAUUGAUAGUGUUAUUAGUGUUCUUGUUUUGCUAAAUUUGUAUAUUGUUUAUCAAGAAAUGAGAAGAUUGAUAGUGUUAUUAGUGUUCUUGUUUUGCUAAAUUUUGUAUAUUGUUAUCUAAGAAAUGAAGAAGAUUGAUAGUGUUAUUAGUGUUCUUGUUUUGCUAAAUUUUGUAUAUUGUUAUCAAGAAUAAUGAAGUACGAUAGUGUUAUUAGUGUUCUUGUUUUGCUAAAUUUUGUAUUAUUGUUAUCAAGAAAUGAGAGAUUGAUAGCUGUAUUAGUGUUCUUGUUUUGCUAAAUUUUGUAUAUUGUUAUCAAGAAAUGAGAAGAUUGAUAGUGUUAUUAGUGUUCUUGUUUUUUUGCUAAAUUCUAUAUAUUGUUAUCAAGAAAUGAGAAGAUUGAUAGGGUUAUUAGUAUUCAUGUUUUGCUAAAUUUUGUAUAUUGUUAUCAAGAAAUGAGAAGAUUGAUAGGGUUAUUAUUGUUCUCGUUUUGCUAAAUUUUGUAUAUUCUUAUCAAGAAAUAAGAAGAUUGAUAGUGUUGUUAGUGUUCUUGUUUUGCUAAAUUUUGUAUAUUGUUAUCAAGAAAUGAGAAGCUUGAUAGUGUUAUUAGUCGUCUUGUUUUUCUAAAUUUUGUAUAUUAUUAUCAAGAAAUGAGAAGGUUGAUAGUGUUAUUAGUGUUCUUGUUUUGCUAAAUAUUGUAUAUUGUUAUCAAGAAAUGAGAAGAUUGAUAGUCUUAUUAGUGUUCUUGUUUUGCUAAAUUAUGUAUACUGUUAUCAAGAAAUGAGAAGAUUGAUAUUGUUAUUAGUGUUCUUGUUUUGCUAAAUUUUGUAUAUUGUUAUCAAGAAAUGAGAAGAUUGAUAGUGUUAUUAGUGUUCUUGUUUUGCUAAAUUUUGUAUAUUGUUAUCAAGAAAUGAGAAGAUUGAUAGUGUUAUUUGUGUUCUUGUUUUGCUAAAUUUUGUAUAUUGUUAUCAAGAAAUGAGAAGAUUAAUAGUGUUAUUAGUGUUCUUGUUUUGCUAAAUUUUAUAUAUUGUUAUCAAGAAAUAGGAAGGUUGAUAGUGUUAAUAGUUUUCUUGUUUUGCUUAAUUUUGUAUAUUGUUGUCAAGAAAUGAGAAGAUGAUAGUGUUAUUAGUGUUCUUGUUAUCAAGAAACGUUUGAAGCUGACCCUUUAGCAAAAUCUCUCAAAAAUGAAAGGCAUUGCCAUGGGGAAUUCUCGAUGGCUUCUAUUCAGUCAAAUAAGGAUAUGGAAGAUCACAACCAAGUCGAUGUAAGUCAUGACGUGAGUUAUUUCUUUGCUUCUUUUUUCUUAGCAUACUACUCUGUAUAUUAUUAUCAAGAAAUGAGAAGAUUGAUAGUGUUAUUAGUGUUCUUGUUUUGCUAAAUUUUGUAUAUUGUUAUCAAGAAAUGAGAAGAUUGAUAUUGUUAUUAGUGUUCUUGUUUUGCUAUAUUUUGUAUAUUGUUAUAAAGAAAUGAGAAGAUUGAUAGUGUUAUUAGUGUUCUUGUUUUGCUAAAUUUUGUAUAUUGUUAUCAAGAAAUGAGAAGAUUGGUAGUGUUAUUAGUGUUCUUGUUUUGCUAAAUUNNNNNNNNNNNNNNNNNNNUGCAAGAGGAAAUUUCUUUCUCUUGAAAAAUGCAAGGCUUGCCAUGUACUGUGCGAAUCCCAUAGAGCUUCCUCCUAGUUUUCAGUCCAGAAACUCUUAAGUUGGGAUAUGGAAGAUCACAACCAAGUCGAUGUAACUCAUACGCACUGUCGUUGAUUAUGAUGGAUUCAAAGGCCACACCACUGCUUUCUAAUCCGUACGUCAACAUCUUUGAGGACGUCUAUUACGUGAGUUAUUCUUUGCUUCCCCUUUUUCUUAGCAUACUUAUCUAUAUAUUUUUUAUCAAAGGAUAAUAGUAAGAUUGAUAGUGUUAUAGUGUCGAUUGUUUUGCCUAAUUGUUGCGUAUAUGUAUCCAUACUCCAAAGAGAAGAUUGUAAUAUUAGUUAGUGUUCGUGUCUUUUGCUAAAAUUUUAUUUAUCAAGAAACGAGAGAGGAUUGAUAGUGCUGAUUUUAGUAGUUUCUUGUUUACGUAAAAUUGUAGACUUAUUUCAAGAAAUGAGAAAGAUUGAUAAAUGUUAUUAGUUUUGCUUGUUUUGCUUAAAUUUGCUGAUGUUAUCAAGAAAUAUAGAUGAUAGUGUUAUUAGUGUGCUUGUUUUUCUAAAUUUGUAUAUUUAUUCAAGAAAUGAGAAGGUUGAUAAGUAUUUAAGUUUCUUGUGUUGCUAAAUUUUUAUAUUGUUUUUAGCAAAGGAAAUUGAGAAGGUUGAUAGUGUUAUUAGUAUUCUUGUUUUGCUACAAUUUUGUUAUUGUUACUCAAGAAAUGAGAAGAUGAUAGUGUUAUUUAGUGAUUCUUGGGGUUUACAAAGGAAACGUUGACGUCUGACCUAUGCUCUCAUUAAAAUUCUCUGGGAAAAAUGAACAGCAUUGCCUAGAGAAGUUUCCAUGCUGCUCUUCAGUCAAAUAAGGGAUAUGGAAGAUUCACAACCAAGCGAGUAUAGCCAUGAGCGCUACUAAUUUCGUUGGAAAUUAUGAUGGCUUCAGAACGCCACACGCUGUCUUCCUUUUUAUCCGUGACGCACAUCUUUAGGACCUUCUAUUCGGGGAGUUAGUGUCUUUGCUUUCUUUUUUCUUAGGCUAUACUUUAUCUGUAGGUAUUGUUCAUUCCAAUAUUAAGCUAGAUUUUGAGAUAGUGUGGUUUAGUGUUCUUGUUUUGCUAAAUUAUAUAUUGUUAUCAAGUAAAUGAGAGAGUGGAUAAGUGUUAUUGGUGGUUUCUUGUUUUGCUAAAUGUGUGGUAUAUUGUAUCAAGAAAUGUAGAAGAUUUGAAGUGUUAUUUGUGUUCUUGUUGUGACUAAAUCUACUAAACAAUUUGUCUUAUUGUUAUCAAGAAGAUGAGAAGAUUGAUAGUGUUAUUAAUGUUGUGAGUUGCUAAAUUUGGCUUUUGUUACUCAAGAAAUCGAGAAAGAUUGAUAGUCGUUAUUAGUGUUCUUGUUGCUAAAUUUUGUAUAUUUUACCCAAAGAAAUGAUGAAGAUUGAUAGUUGUUAUUAGUGGUUCUUGUUUUGCUAAAUUGGUAUAUUGUUAUCAGAAAUCGAAGAAGGAUUUAUAGUGUUAUUAGUGUUCUUGUUUUGCGUUAAAUUGUAUAUUAUUAUCAAGAAAUGAGAAGGUUGAUAGUCGGGUAGUUAGUGUCUCUCUCGUUUUGCUAAAUUUUGUUAUGUUAUCAAGGAAAUGAGAAGAUUGAUAGUGUUAUUAGUGUUCUUUUAUUAUUUCAAGAAACGUUUCGAAGCUGACCCUUGAUAGCGAAAUCUCUCAAAAGAAAGCAUGCACAUAAAGGACGAAAUUCUCCAAUUGGCUUUGCUAGUCAUCAAAAAGGAAUGGAAGACACAACCAAAGUGGCUAUGUAAGUCAUGACGCACUGUUCGUUUGAAUUUAGUGUAUGGCUUCACAAGGCCACACCCCGAACGCUUCCUGAUAUUGCGGUACGGCCACAUCUUUAGGACUCUAUUACGUCGAGUUAUUUCUUUGCUUCUUUGGUUUCUUAGCAGACUAACUACUGAUCUAUUGUUAUCAAGAAAUGAGAAAAAGAUAUGAUAGUGUUAGUAGUGUCAAUGUGUUUCGCUAAAUUUUGUAUAUUGUUAUCAGAAAUGAGAAGGAGUUUCUAGUGUUCAUCUAAGCUGUUCUUGUUUUUUCUGUAAUUAGUUAUAUUGUGUAUCAAGAAAUGAGACGAUUGAUUAGUUGAUUACCGUGUUCUUAUUAUUGCCUAAAUUUUGUAUAUUGUUUCAAGAACAUAGAAGAUUGAUAAUUUAUAGUGUUUUCUCUGUUUGCUAAUUUGUAUACGUAUAUUCAAUGAAUAGGAAGGAUUGAUAGUGUUAUUAGUGUUCUUGUUUGCUAAACUUUCGUGUAUAUUGUAUAUCCAAGCAAAUGAGAAUGAUUAUAGUUGUUAUUAGUGUUCUUGUUUUGCGCUAAAUUUGUAUAUGUUAUCAAGAAAUGAGAAGAUUGAUAUGUGUUAUUAUGUUGUUCUUGUUUUGCUAAAUUACUGUAUAUUGUAUCAAAAAAUGAGAAGAUUUGAUAGCUAGUUAUUGUGUUCUUUCUCGUGUUUUGCUAAAUUUGUAUAUAUGUUAUCAAGAAAUAGGAAGUUGAUAGUGUUAUUAGCUGUUCUUGGUUUUUAUAAAUUAUUGUAUAUUUAUGUAAGAAAUGAGAAGAUUGAUAUGUUAUUAGUGUUCUUGUCUUUUUUGCUAAAUUUGAUAUUGUAUCAAGAAAUGGAGAACUGAUUGAUAGUGUUUAGUGUUUAGUCAUUGUUUUGCUAAUAUGUAUACUUUGUAUCAAGAAAUGAGAGAUUGAUAGUUGAUAGGUGUUCUUGUUUUAGCUAAUAUUGUAUAUUGUUAUCAAGAAAUGAGAAGCAUUGAUAGUGUUAUUAGUGUUCUUGCUUUUGCCUAAAUUGUAUAUUGUUAUCAAGAAAUGAGAAGAUGGAUGAUAGUGUUAUUAGUGUUCUAUUUUUUGCUAAAUUUUCGCUAUAUUGAUUAUCAAGAAAUGAGAAGAUUGAUAGUGAUUUAGUGUUCUUCUUUUGCUAAAUUUUGUUAUAUUGUUUAUUAUCAAAAAGUGAGAAGAGUGAUAGAUUAGUUGUCGUUCUUGUUUUGCUUAAUUGGUAUAUUGUUAUCAAGAAAUAGAGAAGAUUGAUUAGUGUUAUUAGUGGUUUCUUGUUUUGCUAAAUUUGUAUAUUGUGUAUCAAGAAAUUGAGAGAUUGAUAGUGUAUUAGUGUUCUGUUUUGCUAAAUUUGCGUAUAUUGUUAGCAAGAAGUGAGCAAGGAUUUACUAGUGUUAUUAGGUUUCUUGUUAUUGCUAAAUUUUUGUAUAAUUAUUAAUCAAGAGAAUCGAGAAGGUUGAUAGUGGAUUAGUGCUUUCUUUUUUGCCUUAAAUUUUGUAUAUGCUUAUCUUAAUGAGAAUGAGAAGAUUGAGUGUGAUAAGUGAUUUCUAUGUUUUGCUAAUAUUUCCGUAAUAUUUUUAUCAAGAAAUGUAGAAGAUUUGAUAGUUGUAUAGAUGCCUUCUGUGUGUGCUCUAAAUUUGUAUAUUGUUACAAGAGAGAGAACAAGAUUGAUAGUGUUAUGGUGGGGUAGUGUUCUUGUUUGCUAUAAUUUGGCUAUAUUGUUAUCAAGAAAUAGAAAUUUAGAGGUAUUAGUGUUCUCGUUUUUGCAAAUUUUGUAUAUUAUUAUCAGAAUGAGAAGGUUGAUAGUGUUAUUAGUGUUCGUGUUUUGCUAAAUUUUGUUAUUGUUAUCAAGAAAUGAGAGAAUUGAUAGUGUUAUUAGUGUGCUAUAUCAAGAAACGUUUGACGACUGACCCUUUAGCAAAAAUCUGCUCAAAAAGUUGAAAGGCCCAUUGAUAGGGAAUUCUCCAGUGGCAUUCUAUCACCCCAAAUCAAGGAUAUGAAGCAUCAAAGCAGAACCAAGUCUUAUGUAAGCUAUGACGCACUGUUCGUUUGAAAUUUAUUGAUGGUCUUCAAAGGCCACACAGACUGCUUCCUAUAUUCGUAGCACAUCUUUAGGACACCUCCUAUACGUGGAGUUAUUUUCUUUGUUCUUUUUUCUCCUUUAGCAUACUAAUAUGUAACGGUUAGCAAAGAAUAGAGAAAGAAUUGAUAGUGUUAUUAGUGUUCUUUCUGCCCUAAUUGUAAUGUGUUAGUCAGAAAUGAGAAGAUUGUAGUGUUAUAGUUGUUCUCUCUUGCUAAAUUGGUAUAUUUUAUCAGAAAUGAGAAGAUUUAUAGUGUAUCUCCUGCUCUUGUUGUGCUAAUUCUCGUAUAUUAUUAUCAUAGUAAAUGAGGAAGCGUUGAUAGUGUAUUAGUCGUUCUUGUUAUGGCAUAAAAUAUUUAUUCUCUUGUAUAUUGUAGUUCAAGAAAAUGAGAGAUUGAGUGGUUAAUAAUUGUUCUUGUUAUUGCUAAAUUUGGAUAUUGUUUCAAGAAAUGAGAAGAUUGAUAGUCGUUAUUAGUGUUCUUGUUUUGCUAAAUUUUGUAUAUUGUUUACCCAGAAGAGAGAGCAUGUUGAUAGUGUUAUUAGUGUGCCUUUGCUAUUGUAUAUUGGUAUCAAGAAAUGAGAAGAUUGUUAUAGUGUUAUUAGUGUUUCGUUUUUGCUAAAUUUGUAUGAUUAUUUAUCAAGAAAUGAGAGGUUAUGUAGUUUAUUAGAUGUUCUUGUUUUGCAAAUUUGUAUAUUGUAUCAAGAACAUGAGAAGGAUGGGAUAGUGUUAUUUAAGUGUUCUGAUUAUCAAGAAAACGUUUGACGCUUGACCCUUAGCAAAAUCCUCAAAAUAUGAAAGGCAUUUGGCCAGUCGGAAUCUCAUGGCUUCUAUUCAGUCAAAUAAGGAAUAUGGAAGAUUCAGCACACCUAAGUCUUGUCCAAGUCAUGAACGCACUGUGUCGUGUUGAAGUGAGGAGAUGGCUUCAGAAGCGCCACACACUGCUUCCUAUGAUUCGUACGCACAUCUGUGGACUCUAUUGGUACGUGAGUUAUUUCUUUGCUUCUUUUUUCUAGCAUACUAAUAUGUAUAUGUUUAUCAAGAAUGAGAAGAUGAUCAGUUGUUAUUAGUGUUCUUGUUUGCUAAAUUUUUGUAUAUUAGGUUAUCAAGAAAUGAGAAAGAUGAUAUGUAAAGAUGUUCUUGCUUUGCUAAGUUUUGUAUUUUUAUCAAGAAUGAAGACGAUUGAUAGUUGUGAUUAGUGUUCUUAUUUUGCCUCAACAUUUCGCUCCUCCUUGUUAACAGAAAAGGAUGAUUGAUGAGAUGUUAGAGUGUUCCUUGUUUUGCCUAAAUUUUGUAUAUCGUAUCAAUAAAUGAGGAAGAUUGAUAGUGUUUUAUUAGUGUUCUUGUUUGUGUAAAUUUUGUAUAUUGAUAUCAAAGAAAAUGGAGAAGAUGAUAGUGGUUAUUAGUUUCUUGUUUUGCCCUUAAUUUUGUAUAUUGUUAUCAAGAAAAUGAGAAGAAUUGAUAGUGUUAUUUGUGUUCUUGUUUUGCUAAAUUUUUAGUAUAUUGUUAUCAAAAAAUCAGAAGAUGAUAGUCGUUAUUAUGUUCUUGUUUGCUAAAUUUUGUAUAUUGUUAUCAAAGAAAAUAGAAGGUUGAUAUUAUUAGUUUUCUGUUUUGUUUAAUUUUGUAUAUUGUUUAUCAAGAAAUGAGAAGAUAAGAUUGAUAGUGUUAUUUGUGUUCUUGUUUUGCUAAAUUUUGUAUAUUGUUAUCAAGAAAUGAGAAGAUUAAUGGUGUUAUUAGUGUUCUUGUUUUGCUAAAUUUUAUAUAUUGUUAUCAAGAAAUAGGAAGUUUGAAAGUGUUAAUAGUUUUCUUGUUUUGCUAAAUAUUGUAUAUUGUUAUCAAGAAAUGAGAAGAUUGAUAGUGUUAUUAGUGUUCUUGUUUUGCUAAAUUAUGUAUAUUGUUAUCAAGAAAUGAGAAUAUUGAUAUUGUUAUUAGUGUUCUUGUUUUGAUAUAUUUUGUAUAUUGUUAUAAAGAAAUGAGAAGAUUGAUAGUGUUAUUAGUGUUCUUGUUUUGCUAAAUUUGGUAUAUUGUUAUCAAGAAAUGAGAAGAUUGGUAGUGUUAUUAGUGUUCUUGUUUUGCUAAAUUUUGUUUAUUGUUAUCAAAAAAUGAGAAGAUUGAUAGUGUUAUUAGUGUUCUUGUUUUGCUAAUAUUUGUAUAUUGUUGUCAAGAAAUUAGAAGAUUGAUAGUGUUAUUAGUGUUCUUGUUUUGCUAAAUUUUGUAUAUUGUUAUCAAGAAAUGAGAAGAUUGAUAGUGUUAUUAGUGUUCUUGUUUUUCUAAAUNNNNNNNNNNNNNNNNNNNNNNNNNNNNNNNNNNNNNNNNNNNNNNNNNNNNNNNNNNNNNNNNNNNNNNNNNNNNNNNNNNNNNNNNNNNNNNNNNNNNNNNNNNNNNNNNNNNNNNNNNNNNNNNNNNNNNNNNNNNNNNNNNNNNNNNNNNNNNNNNNNNNNNNNNNNNNNNNNNNNNNNNNNNNNNNNNNNNNNNNNNNNNNNNNNNNNNNNNNNNNNNNNNNNNNNNNNNNNNNNNNNNNNNNNNNNNNNNNNNNNNNNNNNNNNNNNNNNNNNNNNNNNNNNNNNNNNNNNNNNNNNNNNNNNNNNNNNNNNNNNNNNNNNNNNNNNNNNNNNNNNNNNNNNNNNNNNNNNNNNNNNNNNNNNNNNNNNNNNNNNNNNNNNNNNNNNNNNNNNNNNNNNNNNNNNNNNNNNNNNNNNNNNNNNNNNNNNNNNNNNNNNNNNNNNNNNNNNNNNNNNNNNNNNNNNNNNNNNNNNNNNNNNNNNNNNNNNNNNNNNNNNNNNNNNNNNNNNNNNNNNNNNNNNNNNNNNNNNNNNNNNNNNNNNNNNNNNNNNNNNNNNNNNNNNNNNNNNNNNNNNNNNNNNNNNNUGUUCUUGAGAUUUACCUGUAUAUUGUUAAUGAAGAAAUGAAGAAGAUUGAUUUAGUGUUAUUAGUGUCUUGUUUUGCUAAAUUUUGUAUAUUGUUAUCAAGAAUGAGAAGAUUGAUAGUGUUUAUUAGUGGUUCUUGUUUUGCUAAAUUUUGUAUAUUGUUAUCAAGAAAUGAGAAGAUUGAUAGUGUUUAUUAGUGUUCUUGUUUUGCUAAAUUUUGUAAUUUUGUUAUCAAGAAAAUGAGAAAGGUAGAUGUUAUUAAGUGUCUUGUUUUGGCUAAUUUUGUAUAUUGUUAUCUAAGAAAUGAGAAGAUUGAUAGUGUUAUUAGUGUUCUUGUUUUGCUAAAUUUGUAUAUUGUUAUCAAAGAAAUGAGAAAGAUUGAAUAGUGUUAUUAGUGUUCUUGUUUUGGCUAAUUUUGUAUAUUUGUUAUCAAGAAAUAGAAGAUUGAUAGUGUUAUUAGUGUUCUUUUUGCUAAAUUUUGUAUAUUGUUAUCAAGAAAUGAGAAGAUUGAUAGUGUUAUUAGUGUUCUUGUUUGCUAAAUUUUGUAUAUUGUUAUCAAGAAAUGAGAAAGAUUGAUAGUGUUAUUAGUGUUCUUGUUUUGCUAAAUUUUGUAUAUUGUUAUCAAGAAAUGAGAAGAUUGAUAUGUGUUAUUAGUGUUCUUGUUUUGCUAAAUUUUUGUAUAUUGUUAUCAAGAAAUAGAGAAGAUUGAUAGUGUUAUUAGUGUUCUGUUUUGCUAAAUUUUGUAUAUUGUUAUCAAGAAAUGAGAAGAUUGAUAGUGUUAUUAGUGUUCUUGUUUUGCUAAAUUUUGUAUAUUGUUAUCAAGAAAUUGAGAAAGAUUGAUAGUGUUAUUAGUGUUCUUGUUUUGCUAAUUUUUUGUAUAAAUUGUUAUCAGAGAAAUGAGAAGAUUGAAGUGUUACUAUAGUGUUCUUGUUAUCAAAACAUUAACAGCUGACAAUCCCUUUACCAAAUCUCCCAAAUGAAAGGCAUUGCGCAUGGGAAUUCUCCAUAGCUCUGUUAGUGCAGAAUAUGGGAUAAUGUGGUAUAGAUACACAAACUAGGACGGAUGUAGCCAUGACGCACUGUAUCGUUCGGGAAUUUAUGAUGGCUCUCAAAGGCCACACCGCCGCUGGCUUCCUAUAUCCCGUACGCACAUCUUAGGACGCGGGUAUUACGUGAUUUAUUUUUUUGCUCUUUAACCACUUACCUGUAUACUUGUUAUGAGAAAUGAAAGGAUUUAUAGUGUUAUUAGUGGUUCUGUAAAUUGCGCUAAAUUUGUAAUAAUGUCUAAAGAAAAUGAGAAGAAUCUGAUAGUUUAUUAGUGUUCUUGUUUGCUAAAUUUGGUAUAUGUGUCAGAAAUAAGGAAGAUUGAUAUGUUGUAGUGUUCUGUUUUGCUAAAUUGUAUAGUUAUCACAGAAAUGAGAAAGAUUGAUACUUAUUAUUUCUUUUUUGCCAAAUUGUAUAUUAUAAAAUGAGAAAUGAUGGUAUAUUAUUGUGUUGUUGUUUUGCUAAAUUUUGUACUAUCUAGUUAUCAUGAAAUUAGAGAUUAUAUAGGUCGUUGGAAUUGUAAUUUCUGUCUAUGUUAAUCUUUUGCUAAAUUGUAUAUUGUUAUCAAGAAAUGAAAAUGAUUUUAUUUUUUGUGUUCUAAUUUGGUUAUGGCUGAAAUAAGUGAUAUUAUUGUGUUGUCAAAAAUGAUAUCUGACAAUAAAUGAUAGAUUAAAUGUCUGUGUUUUGCUAAAUUUGUAUACAUGUUAUCCUAAAAAUGAGAACAUGGAUAAGUGUUACAUAGUGUUCUUACGUUUGUUGGAAAUUUGUAUAUUGUUAUCAGAAUGGAAGAAUUGAAUAGUGUUAUUAGUGUUCUUGUUUUGCCUAAUUUUUGUAUAUUUUACAAGAAAUGAGAAAUGAUAGUGUAUUAGUGUUCUUGUGGUUUGCUAAUUUGUCAUAAUGUUAAUCCAGAAAGAGAAAUCUGAUCAUGUAUAUAGUUCUUGUUUGGCUACAAAUUUGUUAUUAUUAUCAAGAAAAGAAUAGUUAUAGUUUCUUUGUUUUGCUAAAUUUGUAAUAUUUUGUCAAGAAAAUAAAAUUGAUAGUUAUUAGUGCUUGUUGCAAACUUUAUAAUUGUUAUCAAGAAUGCAAAAGAUCGGAUAGCUGUUAUAGUUUCUUGUGUUUGCUAAUAUUUGUAUAUUCUUUACAGGAAAUAGAAGAUAGAUAUGGUUAUAGUUCUUGUUUGCUAAAUUGUGCUAUAUGAUUAUCAAGAAAUGAAAAAAACUUGGAUAGUGUUAUAUAUGUUUCUGUUUUUGCUAAAUUUAAGUUAUUGUUACCAAGAAGAGAAGAUUUGAUAGUGUUAUUAGUCGUUCUGUUUUGCUAUUUGUAUGAUGGUUUGCAAGAAAUAGCAAGAUUGGAUAGUGUUAUAGUGUCUUCGUUUGCUAAAUUAGUCAUAUUGUUCAAAGAAAUGAGAAAUUGAAGUAUGUCGGUUCAAAUGUAUUUAUAAGAGAUGUUGUACCUGCUUUUGCUAAAUUGUUGUAUAAUUGUAUCAAUGAAAAAAGAUGAAAUGUUGAUUAGUGUCUCUUGUUUUGCUAAAUAUUGUAUAUUGUUAUCAAGAAAGAAGAGAUUGAUAUGUUGUUAGGUUCUUAGUUUUGCUAAUUUUGUUAUCAUGUUUAUAAAGAAAUGAGAAGAUUGAUAGUUUAUUAAGUGUUCUUGUUCGUAAAUUUGUAAUUUAUUUCAAGAAAUGAGAAAGUGAUAGUGUUAUUAGUGUUCUGUUUGCCUAAAUUUUGUAUAUUGUUAUCAAGUAAAAAUGAGAAGAUUGAUAUUAAUUAGUUUAUUGUUUGCUAAAUUUGUAUAUUGUUAUCAAGAAAUCAGAAGAUGAUUAGUGUUAUUAGUGAUCUUUGUUUCCCUAAAUUUUGUAAUAUCUUAUCAAGAAAUGAGAAAUGAAUGUUUAUAGUGUCUUGUUUGCUAAAUUUUAUAUAUUUUAUCAAGAAAUAGAAGAUGAAGUGUUAAUUAGUGUUCUUGUUUUGCUAAAUUUUGAUUAUAUUUGUCAAGAAAUGAGAAGAUUGAUAAAUGUUAUUAGUGUUCUUGUUUGCUAAAAUUUUGUAUAUUGUUAUCAAGAAAUGAGAAGAUGAUAGUGUAUAUAGUGUUUCUUUUGUUUUGCUAAAUUUUGUAUAUGUAUACAAAAAUUAGAAGAUCGAUAGUGUUAUUAGUGUUCCUUGUUUUGCUAAAUUUUGUAUAUUGUUAUCUCAAAGAAAUGAGAAGAUUGAUAGUGUUAUUAGUGUUCUUGUUUUGCUAAAUUUUGUAUAUUGUUAUCAAGAAAUGAAGAAGAUUGAUAGUGUUAUUAGUGUUCUUGUUUUGCUAAAUUUUGUAUAUUGUUAUCAAGAAAUGAGAAGAUUGAUAUGUUAUUAGUGUUUGUUUUUGCUAAAUUUGUAUAUUGUUAUCAAGAAAUAGAAGAUUGAUAGUGUUAUUAGUGUUCUUGUUUGCUAAAUUUUGUAUAUUGUUAUCAAGAAAUGAAGAGAUUGAUAGUGUUAUUAGUGUUCUUGUUUUGCUAAAAUUUUGUAUAUUGUUAUCAAGAAAUGAGAAGAUUGAUAGUGUUAUUAGUGUUCUUGUUUUGCUAAUUUUGUAUAUUGUUAUCAAAGAAAUGAGAAGAUUGAUAUGUUUUAGUGUCUUCGUUUUGCUAAAUUUUUGUAUAUUGUAUCAAAGAAAUGAGAAGAUUGAUAGUGUUAUUAGUGUUCUUGUUUGCUAAAUUUUGUAUAUUGUUAUCAAGAAAUGAGAAGAUGAUAGUGUUAUUAGUGUUUCUUGUUUUGCUAAAUUUUUGUAUAUUUUUAUCAAGAAAUGAGAGAUUGAUAGUGUUAUUAGUGUUUGUUUUGCUAAUUUGUAUAUUGUUAUCAGAAAUGAGAAGAUUGAUAGUGUUAUUUAGUGUUCUUGUUUUCCUAAAUUUUGUAUAUUUUAUCAAGAAAUGAGAAGAUUGAUAGUGUUAUUAGUGUUCUUGUUUGCUAAAUUUUAUAUUGUUAUCAAGAAAUGAGAAGAUUGAUAGUGUUAUUAGUGUUCUUGUUUUGCUAAAUUUUGUAUAUUGUUUUCAAGAAAUGAGAAGAUUGAUAGUGUUAUUAGUGUUCUUGUUUUGCUAAAUUUUGUAUUAUUGUUAUCAAGAAAAUGAGAGAUGAUAUGUAUUAGUGUUCUUGUUUUGCUAAAUUUGUAUAUUGUUAUCAAAGAAAUGAGAAGAUUGGAUAGUGUUAUUAGUGUUCUUGUUUUGCUAAAUUUUGUAUAUUGUUUCAAGAAAUGAGAAGAUUGAUAGUGUUAUUAGUGUUCUUGUUUUGCUAAAUUUUGUAUAUUGUUAUCAAAGAAAUGAGAAGAUUGAUAGUGUUAUAGUGUUCUUGUUUUGCUAAAUUUUGUAUAUUGUUAUCAAGAAAUGAGAAGAUUGAUAGUGUUAUUAGUGCUUGUUUUGCCUAAAUUUUGUAUAUUGUUAUCAAGAAAUGAGAAGAUUGAUAGUGUUAUUAGUGUUCUUGUUUUGCUAAAUUUUGUAUAUUGUUAUCAGAAAUGAGAAGAUUUGAUAGUGUUAUUAGUGUUCUUGUUUUGCUAAAUUUUAUAUUGUUAUCAAGAAAUGAGAAGAUUGAUAGUGUUAUUAGUGUUCUUGUUUUGCUAAAUUUGUAUAUUGUUAUCAAGAAAUGAGAAGAUUGAUAGUGUUAUUAGUGUUCUUGUUUUGCUAAAUUUUGUAUAUUGUUAUCAAGAAUGAGAAGAUUGAUAGUGUUAUUAGUGUUCUGUUUUGCUAAAUUUUGUAUAUUGUUAUCAAAGAAAUGAGAAGAUUGAUAGUGUUAUUAGUGUUCUUGUUUUGCUAAAAUUUAGUAUAUUGUGUAUCAAUAAGAAUGAGAAGAUUGAUAGUGUUAUGAUGUUCUUGUUUGCUAAAUUUUGUAUAUUGUUAUAGAAAUGAGAAGAUUGAUAGUGUAUUAGUGUUCUUGUUUUGCUAAAUUUUGUAUAUUGUUAUCAAGAAAUGAGAAGGUUGAUAGUGUUAUUAGUGUUCUUGUUUUUGCUAAUUUUGUAUAUUGUUAAUGCAAGAAAUGAGAAGAUUGAUAGUGUUAUUAGUGUUCUUUUGUCUUGAAUAUUUUUAUUUGUUACAAGAAAUUGAGAGAUUGAUAGUGUUUAUUUUGUGUUUCUUGUAUCAAGAAACGUUGGACGCUGACCCUUUAGCAAAUCUCUCAAAAAUGAAAGCUUUGCUAAUUUUGUAUAUUGUUAUCAAGAAAUGAGAAGAUUGAUAGUGUUUUUAGUGUUCUUGUUUUGCUAAAUUUUGUAUAUUGUUAUCAAGAAAUAAGGAGAUUGAUAAUGUUGUUAGUGUUCUUAUUUUGCUAAAUUUUGUAUAUUGUUAUCAAGAAAUGAGAAGAUUGAUAGUGUUAUUAGUGUUCUUGUGUUGCUAAAUUUGUAUAUUGUUAUCAAGAAAUGAGAAGAUUGAUAGUGUUAUUAGUGUUGUUGUUUUGCUAAAUUUUGUAUAUUGUUAUCUAGAAAAUAGAAGAUUGAUAGUGUUAUUACUGUUCUUGUUUUGCUAAUUUUGUAUAUUGUUAUCAAGAAAUGAGAAGAUUGAUAGUGUUAUUAGUGUUCUUGUUUCGCUAAAUUUUGUAUAUUGUUGACCAGAAAUGAGAAGAUUGAUAGUGUUAUUAGUGUUCUUGUUUUGCUAAAUUUUGUAUAUUGUUAUCAAAAAAUGAGAAGAUUGAUAGUGUUACUAGUGUGCUUGUUUUGCUAAAUUUUGUAUAUUGUUAUCAAGAAAUGAGAAGAUUGAUAGUGUUAUUAGUGUUCUUGUUUUACUAAAUUUUGUAUAUUGUUAUCAAGAAAUGAGAAGAUUGAUAGUGUUAUUUAUCACGAAUAUGAGACGGAUUGAUAGUGUUAUUAGUGUUCUUGUUUUGCUAAUUUUGUAUAUUGUUAUAAGAAAUGAGAAGAUUGAUAGUGUAUUAUGUGUUCUUGUUUGGCUAAUUUGUAUAUUGUUAUCAAGAAAUGAAGCGAUUGUAGUGUUAUUAGUGUUCUUGUUUUGCUAAUUUUGUAUAUUUUCAAGAAAUGAGAGAUAUGAUUGAUAUUUUAGGUUAGUGUUUGCUAAGAUUGGUCUAGAGUAUAAUGGAAUUGAUAUUAGUUCUGUUCUUGUUUGCUAAAUUUGUAUAUUGUUAUCAAGAAAUGAGAGAUUGAUAGUGUUAUUAGUGUUCUUGUUUUGCUAAAUUUUGUAUAUUGUUAUCAAGAAAUGAGAAGAUUGAUAGUGUUAUUAGUGUUUGUGUUUGCUAAAUUUUGUAUAUUGUUAUCAAAAAUGAGAAGAUUGAUAGUGUUCUUGUUUUGCUAAAUUUUGUAUAUGUUAUCAAGAAAUGAGAAGAUUGAAGUGUUAUUAGUGUUCUUGUUUUGCUAAAUUUUGUAUAUUGUUAUCAAGAAAUGAGAAGAUUGAUAGUGUUAUUAGUGUUGUUUUUGCUAAAUUUUGUAUAUUGUUAUAAGAAAUGAGAAGAUUGAUAGUUGUUAUAGUGUUCUUGUUUGCUAAAUUUUGUAUUAGUUAUCAAGAAAUGAGAAGAUUGAUAGUGUAUUAGUGUCUUGUUUUGCUAAAUUUGUAUAUUGUUAACAAAUGAGAAGAUGAUAGUGUUAUUAGUGUUCUUGUUUUUUUUUAAAUUUUGUAUAUUGUUAUCAAGAAAUGAGAAGAUUGAUAGUGUUAUUAGUGUUCUUUUUUGCUAAAUUUUGUAU